GUUAUGUGGGGGACCUUGUGCCAGGCACUGGGCCACAUAAAUGAGAAUCACAAGGACCAGGAUUAAGAAAAGACAGGCUCCAGUGUGACUCAGCACAGUGUUCACAGCCCAUGCUCUCAAGAAUCUCAGCUUAGGAGGAGGCAAAGAGCACUUAUCUCUGAAGUCUCACUUUUUAAAUAUGUUACAAUGAAUUGUGAUCCUGUUUUAUGUAUCUGACUGACAGCACUGGGAAUUAAGUUCCUCAGCCAAUGAAAUAAUAAACCCAAUGCCACGAUAAAACCUACGGUAGAGACUGAUAAGGACUCCAGAUCCAGGCUGCUAAUACUCUUCAAAGUCAUUCAGCUGUGGCUACUACAUGAUGUCUGAGUGUUUCCACAAGGCACUGUUUUGGACAUUGGGAACAUCGAAGUAGAGUGAGCAUCAUCAUGAAUGGAAACACUUUCUCUGAAAAAAGACAUAAAACAAUUGAAAGUCAGCAGUGUCUUUCUUGCAAAAUAUUAUGAAGAUCAGGACAAUUAGAAUUAGGUAUACUCCAAUUCCAUUUUAGAAUUUGCAAUAGAGAAGGUGCUUUGGGAAUGGAAUUAAAUGAGCUGAUUCAUGUAAAGGGAUUUAACUGGGUGCCGGACCUGUCAUAAACUCUUAACGUGAACAGGAGAGUUACUGUAAAAACUGAGACAACAAAACAGCCGGAGGCAUGAAAAGAAAAAGAAUCCCGCAUGAAUAGCUUGCUAUAUGUAAUUUGGUUAGGAACAAUUCACAGGUUUUGACAGCUUUAUUAGAGUUCCAUUUUAGUAAGAUUCAGGUGAAAGUGAGGUCAUCACUUUAAAACAAAAAUCCUGAGAACAUACCCAGAUGGACUCACAUAAAUGAUGUAUACUAAUGUCGUCAAGUAAAUAUUUUAAAGAGUUAAUUGCUUUCUUUAUUAAAAACUGGAUUUAAAUACUCCAUUAUUUCAUAAGAAUAAAACAACUACAACACCGCCACAACAUAAAAAGUGUUUACCUUAAUGUAUUAUGAACACCAGCAGUGAGUUCCAGUAAUAUCUUGCACUUCUGAAGAUGUGUAAGUAUACUAAGGAACAUGCUUAACUUAGAACUCACUAAUGGAAGUUACAGAGAUUUAUUCAGAUCCAUGUUAGCAUGCUUGAUACCCUUAAGCACACUAACAAUAUACAGCAUCUGCUUUCAGGGAUGUUUUUACCUCUUGUACUAGUUUCAGAAAGCCCAUGUCUGAAUAAUUCCUAAGUAAUGGUUUUUUAGCUUACUCUAUAAUUUUGAUUUUGAGCCUGACUAAAUAAAACCUUUUUAAAUAGACAGUGGUUUUAUUAUUAUUCUUAUUUUACUGAUGCAAACAAUCAAGGUAUGUGCAGUAAGAUGUCUUACCAAAUGUCACCCAUUUAGUAUGAGGCUAAGCUGGAUUUCAAAUGCUAAAUUUAUUCCUCUUACCAUCUUCUGCCUCCCAUAAUGAAGACUAAUUAUCUUUGUGUUGCAAAUGUAGAUUUAUAAGUGCCAAUUAAUAGAAAUUAAAUCCUGGUCAAAAUCCCACUAGAGAAUAGACUUUCCUGCGUUUAUCAAUUCAGCUUCAUUCUCUCUCACUAAAGACUGACUGGUUUAAAGGUUAAAGCCCGUCAGCCCCUGAAACUAAGUGAUAACCAAUCCGUAGAUCAGUGUCAGCUUUAUUAUUAUUCUUCACCAGACACCCCUAAUCAUUUUCUGUGUCUGACAUUUGAAUCCCUGCACAAAAACAAUUUGCACAACUUUAAUCCCCCCUCCCAUUUAAUCCAUCACAUACUGUGACACCUGAUAGUCCCACUGUGAGCAGCCUGUGAAAUAUGUCAGCUUUAUCUCUGAUUUACACUGGAUUCUGCUAACAAUAAAUGCCAUUGCUGAAUGUAUUCUAACCUCUCUAGACUUGCAAGAUUGAAGUAAGUGUCAUUUUCUUUUCGUAAUCAGUGCCUUUUUCUUAGAUGAACACAGAGAACAGUGAGUAUGGAAGUAUCCAACAGUUCAGAGAUGAUUUUAACAAUUUAUGCUACCAAAAUCUGUAGUUUGAUGAGUACAUAAGAGGUAUGAUAAAAUAUUGUUUUCCUGUUUCAACCACAUGUUGGUCUUACCUAGGCUUCAUCUAUAUCCUUUUGUUAUUGGCUUUCUUUGGAAAAUUAGUAUCAACUUUAAACUUUUUGCUACAAUAAUUCACAAAAGAUCCUAUAGGUAGAUGUUAUUUCAGGAACAUAAAUAUCCUGUUGAAGCUAAAAGUGGUGGUAAUAUCUGAAGACUGAUAGCAUUAGGAUAAUAUAGAGUAGUGGUAGGCUUGGGAGAAAGACUUAUAUGGGGAUUUCAGCAGCAUACAGUAGUAAUUUACAAUAUAUAUUAUUCAAUAUAUGUAGAACAUACAAACAUAUGUUAAUAAUUUUACUCUAUAACUGAGAAACAGAGAAAGCCUCAAAAAAAUAAGCAACACGAUGUAAUGCCAAUGGUAGAUAUUAGGGCACCCAAUUAAUUCUGAAACAUUGGCAAUUAAAAAUAAAGAAUUUGGAGUUUCUAUAAAACAACAUGUAUAUUAACAAUAUUAUACAUAUACACAUAAAGUUUAUAAAGCCAAAUUUGGUAAAUAAUUAGAUGAGUCUUAUGAAUAAAAAGCAUAAAUGCUAGUAUAUUAAUAAUAAAGACAAUUAGAAAAUUCAUUGAGAUAAUUGGAUUGAUCUAUAUGCACUAAAAUGGAAAACUAAUGUAUACUAAGUAAACAACGUCAUUUAAUUUAUAUAAAUAAAUGCAUAUAAUUUCAGUUUUUCAUAUAUGCAAAAUAUGAUUCUAAAUAUGUAAAAAAUCAUAUGAAUAGGAAGGCACAGAAAGAGGAGUGAAGUAUAAAUAUAGCAAACUAAUAGCGUUGCUUACAUUUGGAAGGGUAUAUAUAGAAAGCAAAAUAGUCCAGAGAUAGAACACAAAAUGAAAUUUUUGUGUUUUACUCCAUAAGUGUUUUAUUACCUGAUUAUUAUACAAUAACUAUUUUAUUUUGCAAUUAAAAAUAAAAAUGUAUUUUUCUUCCACAAAUAGUUAAUGUAAUUUCAAAACGUGGUUAUAUAUGACUUUAUAGUUUAGAGACAAAAGCACAAGUGCAUAUUAUUCUUAGAUAUCUGAUAUUAUAUUAAGAAAGAUUUAAUGAUAUAUAGCAUUUAUAGAACUUUUAUUAGGAUGUCAGCUGUUCUCCAGUAAUUGACAUGAGAGUAGGUAAUUUCUUAUCACUGUCUCCCUCUCUUUUUAUUUUUUAUUAUUUUUGAAAUAUUUUUCACAAUUGUUAUUGACUUUAUUUUUCCCUUUUUAGUAAUAUUCUAUUUAUUUGCCUUUACAAACUUUAACACUUCUCUGAUAGUUGUUAAUCAUAGUUUUUUUUGCAUGUUAAUAAUUUUCACUCUGUAUUCUAGUGGUGUGUUAUUGUCUAAAACAUGAAUAAAAUUCCUAGAAUCCUUUAAUUCUCUCUCCUCAAUCUUCUUUCUUAACUCUGAAGAGAACUUACGAUUAAUUUUAAAAGUAAUUUGACUUUCAAAAUGGAAUGUAUAGAUGAUUUGGGAAUAAGAACAAGUUCCCACUUUAAAGCACUCAAGGUAAAAAAACAAAAACAAAAACAAAAACAAACUGGUGUUAAACCAACAUUAAAUCUUCAUGAAAAAUACCCCUUUGAAAGAAAGCUACAAGUGCAUCAGAG
rnacentral:lncRNA from 1 species